rfam:Crassostrea gigas strain 05x7-T-G4-1.051#20 contig18766, whole genome shotgun sequence.
GCCUGGGUAGCUCAGUGGAAGAGCUCCUGAAUAGAGUUGCAGGUGUCUUGGGUUCGAUUCCCAGUCCAGCCU